UACGUAGGGUGCAAGCGUUGUCCGGAAUUAUUGGGCGUAAAGAGCUCGUAGGCGGUUUGUCGCGUCUGCUGUGAAAACUCGGGGCUUAACCCCGGGCCUGCAGUGGGUACGGUCAGACUAGAGUGCGGUAGGGGAGACUGGAAUUCCUGGUGUAGCGGUGAAAUGCGCAGAUAUCAGGAGGAACACCGGUGGCGAAGGCGGGUCUCUGGGCCGUAACUGACGCUGAGGAGCGAAAGCGUGGGGAGCGAACAGG
rnacentral:rRNA from 1 species